GAUUAACAUAUUUAUGUUGCUUUUUUUUUCGAUUUUAAUUUGUUGGUUCGAAGAUGUUUUAUUUUGAGUAAAGUAAUAUGAUUCGUGUGCAGAUAAUACAAAUUUGGCUAUAGAAAUCAAUGAUUCCGACAAUGAAGACGAGGUUUCGCCAAUUAACGAAAAUAUUAAUAUUGAUGAAAAAAAUCCGAAAUGGAGGAGCAAAACAUGGACGUGUGGGGCCCACAUGCUCGAUGCCUUUGAAGAAGACGAAGAGCUUUGUAUGAAUGCCGUUUGUGCGCUUUACCGACACCAAGUAUAUACACGAGAAUCACUUUGCCAUUUCGUGAUGAUGUGGGGACGUGAUUUGGCGAAGUGUUUGAUCGAUGGGGAUCCGGAGCUUCGAUUAAAGAAACCCGUUUCUGAAAUUAAACGGCAAUUUCCCAAUGCUAUUAAUGAAUGCCGAAUUCUUGCAAGGAGCUACUAUGAGAAACUUUAUAUGCUGUAUUGCAGCGGAAAAGAUCGGUUUUUUCGACCAAUGUAAUCUGUCGAUCGAUCCUGUGAUCGAGUUUAUGUUUGUAUAUAGUUUUGAACUCAAAUCCGAUUCUUGAUUUUAGUUUAUGAUUGUAUAUGAAUCA